AGAACGAACGCUGGCGGCAUGCCUAACACAUGCAAGUCGAACGAAGCCUCCGGGCUUAGUGGCGCACGGGUGCGUAACACGUGGGAAUCUGCCCUUAGGUACGGAAUAACUCAGGGAAACUUGAGCUAAUACCGUAUGAUGUCUUCGGACCAAAGAUUUAUCGCCUAAGGAUGAGCCCGCGUCGGAUUAGCUAGUUGGUGGGUAAAGCCUACC
rnacentral:rRNA from 1 species